GUGGUUACUUACUAGUUCUGGCCAACCUUCAUGUCAAGUUUCAAGACUCUAGGUCCAAGCAUACCAAAGUUAUAACAACUUUAACAUUUUUACAUUCAAGGUCACAGUGACCUUGACCUUCAAAUGAAUGACCUUGAAAUGACCAGUGGUUACUAACUAGUUAUGGCCAACCUUCAUGUCAAGUUUCAAGACUCUAGGUCCAAGCAUACCAAAGUUAUAAGAACUUUAACAUUUUUUAUAUUGAAGGUCACAGUGACCUUGACCUUCAAAUGAAUGACCUUGAAAUGACCAGUGGUCAUCUGUUAAUCCUGGCCAACCUUCAUGUCAAGUUUGAAGACUCUAGGUCCAAGCAUACCAAAGUUAUACCAUGAAAUAACAACUUUAACAUUUUUACAUUCAAGGUCACAGUGACCUUGACCUUCAAAUGAAUGACCUUGAAAUGUCCAGUGGUUACUUACUAGUUCUGGCCAACCUUCAUGUCAAGUUUCAAGACUCUAGGUCCAAGCAUACCAAAGUUAUAACAACUUUAACAUUUUUAUAUUGAAGGUCACAGUGACCUUCACCUUCAAAUGAAUGACCUUGAAAUGACCAGUGGUCAUCUGUUAAUCCUGGCCAACCUUCAUGUCAAGUUUGAAGACUCUAGGUCCAAGCAUACCAAAGUUAUACCAUGAAAUAACAACUUUAACAUUUUUACAUUCAAGGUCACAGUGACCUUGACCUUCAAAUGAAUGACCUUGAAAUGUCCAGUGGUUACUUACUAGUUCUGGCCAACCUUCAUGUCAAGUUUCAAGACUCUAGGUCCAAGCAUACCAAAGUUAUAACAACUUUAACAUUUUUACAUUCAAGGUCACAGUGACCUUGACCUUCAAAUGAAUGACCUUGAAAUGUCCAGUGGUUACUUACUAGUUCUGGCCAACCUUCAUGUCAAGUUUCAAGACUCUAGGUCCAAGCAUACCAAAGUUAUAACAACUUUAACAUUUUUACAUUCAAGGUCACAGUGACCUUGACCUUCAAAUGAAUGACCUUGAAAUGUCCAGUGGUUACUUACUAGUUCUGGCCAACCUUCAUGUCAAGUUUCAAGACUCUAGGUCCAAGCAUACCAAAGUAAUAACAACUUUAACAUUUUUAUAUUGAAGGUCACAGUGACCUUGACCUUCAAAUGAAUGACCUUGAAAUGACCAGUGGUCAUCUGUUAAUCCUGGCCAACCUUCAUGUCAAGUUUGAAGACUCUAGGUCCAAGCAUACCAAAGUUAUACCAUGAAAUAAGAA